rnacentral:lncRNA from 1 species
GCCUUUAUGAGAUGGGGAAGCUGCCAGGUUGUCUCUGGACUUUCCCGUCACUCCGUGGUCUCAGGUCAUCCAGUCCCCAUCAGGUCCAGAGUUCCAGAGAAGACUAGGUUGUUACUGGCACCCUCUCCCUUCUAGGGCUUGUUCCCCUCCCAAGUACGGAGUUGUGUUUUCCCUUCGAACUUUUGCUAUUCAACCCCCGAGGGAGGGAACAAUCGACAGUUACCACACUGUCCCAUCACCAGCGCCACCAGUGCUACCACCCUUUUCUGGUUAAUGGCCCUACAGGUAUUUUUUUUUCCAAAGGGGAAAAAAAAUUGAGGGUGGCAGAUGCUGGGUAUGGGGAGAAGGAAGGAGAAGCACUUUUUGGAAAGCAAUUAGGGGCCCUGCCUUGGUGCGUGAAGCUCUUCCCUCUGUUUGCAGGCAGGAGGUCCACAGACAGAAGCAACACACAGAGCUCUGUAUGUGUGAGAGCCUGUCCUCUCCCCAAAGGGCGUGUUGAGAUGGAGCGCCAGAACUCAACGGGAUGAUAGUUUUCAUCCUAGUUCUCAUGUUGAUGUCAACAGCACAGGGCAGUAUGGUGUUUCCUUGGUUCCUGUUCCUGGGACAUUCACAGAGGAUGGCAGCACCUUGAGGCAAAAACCUCUGAGGACACAUCUCACAGCCAUGGUUUCUCCUGGAAUCAGGCUGAUGUGGUCUGGUCCUGUCCCUCAUAAGGUGGAGGCCUUAAUAAUCCUCCACUAGCUCCAAUAUUCUCUCUGCCUUCAGCGCUACAGCCCCAGCAGUCCGGAGCUUACCCUCCCACAGAUGGAGGUCUCUGCACUCAACCAAAGACCUAGGCAAGCAGCCAUGUGCUUUUCUUGAUCUAAGCCUUACUCACUCACCCGCCACACUACAGCAUGUACCAAAUGUGGCCGUCUGUUCCUCCAGCUCAAGAAAAACUAGAAGGGAGACAGCCAUGAAUGAAUGACAGACGCGACAGCUGACAGGCUGUGAAUCCAAGGGGUAAAAAAAUAAUUAGUCCUGAAAUCAUUUUACCACAAAUAUGGAGGCUUAUAACAAUGACUUUGAGUUAAGUAGAGGUUUAAGUCGUAUCCUGAUUCUUGUGUGCAGAUGGCAAAGUACAUAAUACAUUGAAAAAUAAGACUAGGUAUAGAUCUCACUGGUAGAAUAUUGCCUGCUCUGCACAAGAUCCCUGAUUCAAACCUCAGCAACACACACACACACACACACACACACACACACACACGGGGGGGGGGCGGGGUGGAAGAAGAAGGGAGAGAGGGAGGAGAGGUGGAGAGAGGAAGGGAGAGAGAAGAGAGAAUGAGAGGGAGGAGAAAGGCAAAUUGAGAUGUGUAGCACUGCAAUGCCAACUACUUGUUAGGAUUAAGAGUUCAAAGCACGCCAGGCAGUGGUGGCGCACGCCUUUGAUCCCAGCACUUGGGAGGCAGAAGCAGGAGGAUCUCUGUAAGUUCAAGGCCAGCCUGGGCUACAGAGUAAGUUCUAGACCAGUUUGAAUAAUUUGAUGAACUGUCUCAAAGUUUACGAACUCGGGGGAGUGUAGCUCAGUGGUAGAGUGCUUGGUUGAGAGAAAGAAGGGAAAUAAUACAUCUUCCUGGCACUUUGGUAUCCUGCGUUCUCUCUCCCACUGGGGCCUAACACAGGCACAUCUGUCUUGCCAAGGGGUCCAAUAGCUUUGUCAGCUGGGUUUUGUAGAGAAGCUCGGCACUGGGCACAGUGGCACAUACUUUUAGUCCCAGCUCUUGGGAGGCAGAAGGUUGAUCUUUGAAUUCAACUGCAGUCUGUUCCAGUGAGUUCUAGAUAAACCAGGAAAGGUUACAAUAGUGAGACCCUGUCG